AGAGAUUCAUAAAACGAGAGGUGAUAUCGGGGAUGGUCCUAUCUUUACGGGAGGCGUGUGUAGAGCCCCGUGAUCGAUCACCUGUUCCGUUUCGAAAUACGGCGGCAAGCCGGAUAUGUACUCUGUGUUGUUGAUAAAAAAAUAAUAGAAAUAAUAGCUUAUUCUGGAGCAUCGCGUUUAUACAAUUGCUUUAAAGAAACCAUUACAGUCUUCGUUUGGAAUUGGACACUGGAAUCACUUGUUCGGGUGAUUCACGGAUUCCCACGGAAUGCAUGGAUUGAAAAAGACGUACAUUUCUCCAAAGCGCUGUCACUUUCUUACUGCCUGAAAACUAACCCUACUCGAUAUCUUUGAGGCCUGGUUUCCCUCCGCUCAAACCAAUCCGGGAAAGUAUAACAGUGCUGCUCUCGCUGCAGGUAACUUUCUUCAUCUACUGCCAUAAGGUGUUCAAGUUUCAUAAGGCUUAGCGUGGGGAUGGUAGCUGGACAGAAGUAAAGGAGGGAUCUGUUUCCCCCGAUACCGGAAUCCAGGCCCAUUAAUCACUCCCAGAUAAGCCGCAGCAUGUUCUCCACCGACCCUCUUGUUCUUUUUCGACAAGCAUUUUUCUUCAUUCUUGCUGAUCUGUCGUCUUGGACAUUUGACUUUGAGGUGGGGAUUUUAUUCCAGUAUUUUCUGGAAUAUUAUUCUGCAACUGAGAAUUUUAUUUAUUUAUUUUGUACAGGCCUGGUAUUGGUUCUGGAGAAGCAGCUUGUCAGUAACAUUUUGUUCCCACAGAAGAAGGGCUACACCAGUCUAGAGGAAUCAUUCCAGAACUGGGAGGCCCUCUCAGAGAAACAUCUAUCACUUCAUUUUUGGCUUGGAGCUCGGGAUGGCAAAAUCUCUCUGUGAGGACCUGAGUUCUGUCCCCGUGCUGAAAGCCCUAAAAGUUCAGAGAUACAGGCCAGAGAAUGGCCAUGCAGACUUUUAAAAGUGAUUCAUAAAACUUUAAAUUCACAUUCUAAAAGCAACAUGAAGCCUACGCAAUAAAGCCGGGAUUUGGAUAAUGGG